UUCGGACGGGAUAACCGCUGAAAGCAUCUAAGCGGGAAACUCGUCUCAAGAUGAGUCUUGCCGGGGCCUUGAGCCCCCUGAAGGGUCGUUCGAGACCAGGACGUUGAUAGGCUGGGUGUGGAAGCGCAGUAAUGCGUUAAGCUAACCAGUACUAAUUGCCCGUGAGGCUUGACC
rnacentral:rRNA from 1 species